rnacentral:rRNA from 1 species
UACGAAGGGUGCAAGCGUUAAUCGGAAUUACUGGGCGUAAAGCGCGCGUAGGUGGUUUGUUAAGUUGGAUGUGAAAGCCCCGGGCUCAACCUGGGAACUGCAUCCAAAACUGGCAAGCGAGAGUAUGGCAGAGGGUGGUGGAAGUUCCUGUGGAGCGGUGAAAGGCGUAGCUAGAGGAAGGAACACCAGUGGCGAAGGCGAACACAUGGGCUAAUAAUGAAACUGAGGUGAGCCCGCGUGGGGCGACCACAGGCUUCGAUCCCAGCGGAGUCC